CAAGCCGUAGCCAGAGAGAAACGCACGUAGUUUCAGUUUCGGGAGUUUACACCCAAAUUGAUUUCGGGCGAUUUAAGCCACCAAUUGACGCACCGUUUCUUCCUACUUAACUCCAUUCUCUCCUCUCUAUUUCCCCCCAAACGGAACAUCCCGAGAGCCCCCAGGCUGCUUGAAUUUUAGCUCGCAAAUUCACUGUACCGGCGAGUUCCCGGGACAAAUUCGCGACCAAGCCAUAUUCAUCUGUGAGCACACCCGCGGCGAAGUUUUUCGGCGAGUUUCCGGCGAGCGACUGCGCGUGAACCAGGGAGUAGAACACACCAUCGACCCUCCAUCAUUGUCUUCAGCUCGUCGAUUACCUCACGGACGUCGAGGACCAAACGCGAGUUCAUCCACGAUCCAGGGAGCAACCUCUCCUCCAAUUGUGAUUGUGUUGAUUGCAACGAGUGUUUCUGGGAAGAGUGUACCAACUCCUCCUCUCACCAAGGCAAGUGACACACACCAAAAGUCCCAGUUUUAAUUCUUGCACAGUAGUGUUUUUAUAGUAGACAUGUCUAGGGUUUAUGCUUUUUGCUUGCUAUUAAAUCCUAGUAGUUUAGCUACACCACUCCUAGACUCCCUUAGCCGCCAUUAAAUUUAU